GACGAACCGUGCGAACGUUGUUCGGAAUCACUGGGCUUAAAGCGCGUGUAGGCGGUCCGGUAAGUCCGCUGUGAAAGUCGGGGGCUCAACCCUCGGAUGCCGGUGGAUACUGUCGGGCUUGAGUACGGAAGAGGCGAGUGGAAUUCCUGGUGUAGCGGUGAAAUGCGCAGAUAUCAGGAGGAACACCAAUUGCGAAGGCAGCUCGCUGGGACGUUACUGACGCUGAGACGCGAAAGCGUGGGGAGCAAACAGG
rnacentral:rRNA from 1 species